rnacentral:lncRNA from 1 species
GCAGCAGUCAUCAGUUAAACCACACUGUGACAGGGUAGCACCUGCCUCCUCCCCCAGGGAUCCCAUUAAUUCUUGCUUUCCACAUUAUGGGCUGCAAGCUCACACCAGCCACAGUUUCAGUGCUCACUCAUUCAACACCAACAGCUGGGAUGUUAGUGAAGAACUUCGACUGCAGGAACUUGAAGAAGUCAAGGCCAGAGCUGCUCAGAUGGAAAAGACCAUGCGAUGGUGGUCAGACUGCACUGCCAAUUGGAGAGAAAAAUGGAGUAAAGUUCGAGCAGAAAGGAACAGUGCCAGGGAGGAAGGAAGACAACUCAGAAUAAAAUUAGAGAUGACAGUGAAGGAAUUGAGUGUGCUUAAAAAGAAACAAAGUCUGUUACUGCAAAAGGAAGCAUCAGAAGCCAAUAUCACCCAGGACCUGGAGCUUCCUACUUUUGUAGACAUGUCCUACAGGGAUGAAGACCAAUUUCAAACUACUUCACAAAUGUAUGAUUCUAUUGGGAAGUAUUUGGUGAAAAGACAAUUUCCUAUAGAGAAGAACACAAAUAGUAAGGAAGGUGUGGUUAUUGACCCUUUCCAAUUAAAUGAGGCGAUGAAGACCAAUUCAGAUUUUACUGAUGUAUUCAAAAGUAUUGGUUCUGGAAACUGUGCUAUGGUCCCUGCGCUCAGACUACAAGCAAUAAAUCUGCCUUCAGAGGAGGAAGGAGCUAAAAUUUCAGCUUUGCAAAUCCAUUUGGUUAAGUUACAGCAAACCUUACAGAAAGAAAGAGAAAUGCGUGCAGCUUUGGAAAAAGAAAUAGAACAAAUGGAGUCAGCUUUGUCUCUGUGGAAACGGAAGUAUGAAGAACUGAAAGGAUCAAAGGCAUCAAAUGGGAAAGAGGUAUGGCAACAAAUGAUGCAAAGGAAUAAAUAAAAGCCAAGGUUCCCCCUCUUUGGCUCUGUAACCUAGUGGGCAAAAGCAGAAGGCUCAACAGAAGAUAGAGAAUGAUAAAAAAAUUGCUCUAAGAAAAUUUUCUCUGAAAGAGAAUAUUGGAAAUCAAACUUCAAUAGUUUACAUAGACUGAG